UUUUGACAGACAGAAGGAGGACGUUGCGUUGAAUCAUCUGUCGCUGGUGUUUCUGCAAACCGAGGCAAGAAGCACCCAACCCUUUUCGCCUGCGUUUGCAAAUUAUACUUCUUUGUUGGGAACUGCCCCUUGCAACCAGGCACACUGACAAUUAACAGGGGUGGGGGAGAGAGCACACUCUGAUGCAGGAUUCCAUCCCAAGGGUUUCAGAAAUACUUGGGGGGGGGACAGGAAGAGGAACAAUCGGACUGGGAGGAAGAGAAAGCGGGAAGACCUCACAAGCCUCUAAGACUUUUUUUUCCUGAGAAGCGGGGGGCCAUGAUUCUUCUAACGUGCCCCUCCUCCUCUUCUGAAACCACCUCUGGGAGGUGCAACCCCCCUCCCCGCCAAAAGCAAGCACAACAUCCGACUCCUUCCUAGGCCCCAGAUUCACGGUCAAAACAGCGUCACUCCCGGGGUCGCAACCGCCUUCCCAGGAUGGCAAAGCACUCCUUCACCACCACCCCCAUACCACCACCACUCGCUCAGGAGCCUCUCUCAGAGUGAAGAAACACAAACUUUUCUUCUCCCGAAGAGGAAAAUUCCUCUCUUUGAAACGCGUGGGCGUGACUCGCUCCCGCUCCAAGAUUAACCCUAAAAGAACUAAAGAAAGCGAAUACCUGGGUUGCCUCAAGCGUCUCCUGGGAAAGGUUCUCUCGCUGGCGCCGCGACUCCUCACCCCUGCCGGAUACUUUUUCUAGUGUAAGAAUCCUUCCAGGUGUGGAGAGUAGACAGUUUUCUCCCUGUCAAGGCGAAAGAAGGCGAGGCGGGCACAACUCUCCCCACUUUCCCCAGCGGGUCUCCGGCUGUUACCUCAGCCCCGCGGAAUCCUCUUGACGCCGCUGUUGGAGAGAGAAGAAAGAGGCGGGGAAGGGCUGGUAACAACAACAGGUAAAUCCCUCCCUUGCUUUGGAGCAGCCGGCUUUGAGCAAUAAUCUUCAAGCGCUCGAAGGGAGGGCGAGGGCAAUAGAGGCUGCUCUGCGCAGUCCUUUCGUGCUUUCCUGGCUCGGGGUCUCGUUCCAGAAAAAAAGAGAGUAAAAACAACACCUGCUUGAUGGUGUGUGGUACAAAAAUGGAGAAGGGGUGUGUGUGGAGCUUGGGAAAGGAGGCGGCCAGCGCGGGCUCUUCGUUUCGGACUAGUGAGUCAGAAGAAAGGACCUGCAACGCGUGUUUCUCUCACGCUUGCUUGAGAGCAAAUCCCAUUGAACUAAGUGAGGCUUAACUUCCGGAGUAAACGUGGCUUCAGCCCUAAAUCGACACACACACCCCAUUUAAGCAACUUAGCCACCUCCGUGGCGUUCCCAGGCGCCUACCCUCUUUUCUUUGAAUGGUACUUAACUCCCAGGCGCCGCGCGUAAAAGAGCUCCUUUUUUCCAUACAACAGGCAAUUAGUUCGGGAGUACACCUGAGGUGGGAACGCUUUUCUCCCUUCACUUCGUCUCUUGGGGUUUCUCGUUCGUUCUUAGGGCAACAUCUCGAGGGGAUUCGGGGAGGAAGAUGAACAAUGAAAGCUGAUAAAACAUCCACUUAUAAAGACAGACGGUAGCAACUGAGUGUGUAACUUGAGAGAAGCAAAAUACAGAACUCUCCGUUUCCCAUAAUGAAUACCAUAUUUGAGGGUUUCCCCCUGCCCAUCAAGAGAAGCAAAGAGGAAUCCUUAUGGCUGAUGAAUACAAAGGCAGCAGAAGUACAUGCUCUGGAUGGGAUGAAAAAGAAGACAAUACUUUUAUAACUACAGGAUUAUCAGAGUUAAUAGCAUAGAAGACAGUUGCUAUUGUCCCACACAUAUGCUGUCUGAUACAAAGGAACAAGGAAGGCAGUUACCCUGUGGUAGGAAGCUCCCAACUGCAUCUGAAUGUUCUGGUCUGGAGAAUCUUCAGUAAUUAAAAUUUAAUACCAGUGGGCAAAAGGGUAGUUCUUAUGUCCAGCAAUUGGGUGUUCACCUAUUCUGAAUGGAGUCGUACUCCUUCUGAAUGAGCAGGCAAGAAGUAAUAAGAGUGUUAUGCUUCAAUCAAGAUGUGAAGCUGCUAAGAAAAGGUCAACCCUGCAAGGGGAAUUUUCAAAACAUAAUUACUCAUCAGUAAUUAAAUCUGUUGUACUGCAAAAAAGGACUAUAAAUCUGUCUUGAAAGCCAAAAUGUUCACUGACCAGAGACAUCUUUGGUUCUGCUUAGAGAUUAUAAUUAAAACUAAUCAGACUGUCAACUUUUGUAAAUUAGUUAGAAGUACUAAAGUAAUCACAGUGCUAAAUAAUGGAUGAAAUCCAAUGUGACACAAGUGGGUGUUCCUUUCCUCCCCCUACUCAAAUCUGCUCCAGAGGGUCCCACAACCCUCCAGAGCAGAUAUGAGGGGUGCAGGUGUGAGAAGGGGGAGGGGAUGGCUGCUUGUGUGCGUCACAAUCCACUACGUCCAAGGACUAACACAACUGAAUGUAACCCAAUGUGAUUGAUUGUGUUUGGGAACAGCAUUUCUUCACCAUUUCGAACAUGUAUUCUCCAAACUAGGUCUCUCAACGCUUUAAUAACAAUUGUAUGUCUAUGACAUGUGGCCUUCUAUGAUUGCCCCAGAAUGGAUGCCAUUGAUCACCCAACUUUCUAAUAGCAAGACUCUGGAAAAUGAUGGCAGACACAAGAUAUUUAUGAACAUCUUAAAAGUAGUAGGAACCAUCAGGAACCAUUUGGAUUAUAUCACCUAGUUCUGUUGGCUGGCAUAUCAUCUAAGAAAGAGAACAUUAUAAACCCCUCAAAUUAUAGACAUAAAUACUUAAUUAACAUUGAAGCCAAACUAUAUGAAAAAUAUCUAGUUUUGGAGCUUAAAAGAUGGUCUGCCAAUAAUAUUUUUGCCAAGGAGUUUCAGUUAUCACUACUCCCCAAUGAAUAAUGAUUUUGUGUUUGCCUGCAUUUUUGCAUAAAUAUGUAUCUGUGUGAAAGGUCUCCAUAUCUGUUGCUUUUGUAGACCUGAAGGCCGCUUUCAAUACCACUGAUGGGGAGAUGCCCAGGGAUAUAUCACCAGUCUGGGUCAGCAGCAUUUUGUUGUUGUUAGUGUGAACUUUUCACACUGGUAUCAGGUUGAAGAUUAUAUCUGCACCUUCCAGUAUUCUUUAUAAACAACACUGUAUCAGUAACUAGUGUUUAGUAAUGUGGAAACAUGGAUGUGUACUUGCUCCAUUCCUAUGUAACUUCUUUAUAUUUUGCCUCAGAGCUCAGGUAUGAGAAACACUUUGAAUCUGUCAAAGGGAAAAGAAAACUCUGUUUACUACUUUAUGCAAACAACAUGGUAUUGUUUCCUUCACUCAGUGGGCCUCUGUCAGCCUUCGAUUCUUUUUGCAUGAAGAAUUUGCUGUAACAUUAAUUACAAUAAAACGAAAGUGGUUACCUUAGGGACCAAGACAGCUCUCCACAUCUGGUGCUUAAAUUCCCAUAUAACUGAACAAGUACUGAUAAUUGGGAGUACUAUUUUCUAGCACUGAGAAAUGGGGAAAUGAUCUCAAUGGUGCCAUGCUAAAGGAUCAACAGUCGGAGUUCUGAGACUCUUCAACAGGGGCAGCUAGCCAUUUUCAGGCCAAGGGCCAUAUUGACCCAUGAUCAAUCUUCUGGGGAUGAGGCCAAAGUGUAAAAGGUUUAUAAAAAGACACAUUUUGAGGAUGCGGCAGGUGUCACAAAAACUUUUGCCAUCACAGAAUCACAGUGGGAAUCAUCAGUAAAAUACUUUUUUUAAAUUAAACUUUUUUAAAAAAUUGACAAAUUUGGGGAGGCCUCAAGAAAGCUUUUGGCAUCACAGAAUAACAACUGGAGACCUAUGGAAGGAGUGCAGUAAAGAAACCUACAGUGCAGAGAUCAGAAUAGAGCACAAAACAUCUGAUUUGUUGUUAUUUUCAGGGCAAAUUUUGUGAUCACCACUGUGCAUGCCUAGAUGCCUGCCUUGAGUUUUUCUGUGAAUUGAAACCCAAGUUGUCCCAGUUGAAAUAAGGGCUCAGUUACACCUUUUUAAAUUAUUGGUUCAAACUAAUAUUUUGCCAGAGAAAAGUACCAAAACUAUGUUUGCUAGAACAAACUCAAUCCAGCACGGCAAAAUCAAACACCUAGUGUAGAUUAUUUCCCCUUCAAUAAACUACUUUCAUAGAUUUAGAAAGACUCCUAAGCAGGAAUCCAAAAACAGGAUGGUAACACAAAGUUACUUUUUUCUUUGUCACCACAAAGACUGUCCUCUGGUUUAGUUUGUUUAAACAUAAACAUAACUCUGAAAAAUGCUCUAAUAUGGCUCAGAUUUCAGUUUUAUGCACAUGCGGUUUUAGAGAUAGUAGAUUUCACAAUACUGCUUGCAUUCUGUAGUACUGCAUGUGUAAAGAUGCAGGUUAUUCUGUUGCCCUAAAACAUAACACAAGUGGAUCAAAUUAUUUCCUCCCUAAAUUGCUGAAGGAAUGUGAGGAUUGUUCAAGUUUACAAAAAUAUAUUGUUUGCUUUUAAAUAACAACCUCAGCCAGAGUAUGGCUACUUUAUGUGCUUUAAUACUAUUUACUGAAUAUAAAUGAGUAUUUACAGAAUAUGAACUGAUGAAGCAAAUUGAUGAAU